CAAAAACAUCGCCUCCUGCAAAAUCAAUAUAUAGGAGGUCUUGCCUGCCCAGUGACUCCAAGUUAAACGGCCGCGGUAUUUUGACCGUGCAAAGGUAGCGCAAUCACUUGUCUUUUAAAUGAAGACCUGUAUGAAUGGUGGAACGAGGGCUUAACUGUCUCCCCCCUCUAGUCAAUGAAAUUGAUCUACCCGUGCAGAAGCGGGUAUAAUAAUACAAGACGAGAAGACCCUUUGGAGCUUAAGAUAAAAGACCAACUAUGUCAAAAAUCCUAAAAAUAAAUUAAACUAAAUAGUACUGGUCUCAAUCUUCAGUUGGGGUGACCGCGGGAGAAAGAAAAGCUCCCACGCGGAUAGGGGUUAUCCCCUAAAACUAAGAGAGACAUCUCUAAGUCACAGAACAUCUGACUAUAAAGAUCCGGUUAAAUACCGACCAACGGACCAAGUUACCCUAGGGAUAACAGCGCAAUCCCCUUCCAGAGUCCAUAUCGACAAGGGGGUUUACGACCUCGAUGUUGGAUCAGGACAUCCUAAUGGUGCAGCCGCUAUUAAGGGUUC
rnacentral:rRNA from 1 species